CCUACGGGAGGCAGCAGUGGGGAAUAUUGCACAAUGGGGGAAACCCUGAUGCAGCAACGCCGCGUGAGUGAAGAAGUAUUUCGGUAUGUAAAGCUCUAUCAGACGGGAAGAAAAUGACAGUACCUGACUAAGAAGCCCCGGCUAACUACGUUCCAGCAGCCGCGGUAAUACGUAGGGGGCAAGCGUUAUCCGGAUUUACUGGGUGGAAAGGGAGCGUAGACGGCUGCUGAAGUCAGAAGUGAAAGCCCGGGGCUCAACCGCGGGACUGCUUUUGAAACUGUGUAGCUAGAGUGCAGGAGAGGUAAGUGGAAUUCCUAGUGUAGCGGUGAAAUGCGUAGAUAUUAGGAGGAACACCGGUGGCGAAGGCGGCUUACUGGACUGUAACUGACGUUGAGGCUCGAAAGCGUGGGGAGCAAACAGGAUUAGAUACCCCAGUAGUC
rnacentral:rRNA from 1 species